rnacentral:pre_miRNA from 1 species
AGUGCAGGUGCUAGGUCAUAUUCAUGUGUGUUAAUUUUAUAAAUAGUUGCCAAAUUAUUUUCCAGAGCGGUUGUUCCAUUUUACACUCCCACCAGCAAU